AAGUGUUUUAUUGAAAUAAAGAUUCUCUGGGUAGAACAAAACUUGUAUAUAACACACAAUUAACACCAAAAUCAAGCCUGUGAAAAACCAAAAUCAAAUCGAUUAAACCACCCCCCCCAAAAAAAAAAUAAAAGUAUAUGUACAGUAGGGCUGAUCACCAAAACAAUGAAAGAAUGAACACAAGAAUGUAAUACAAGAAAGGUAGGAGAAUAGCAAUGAAGAUCUGAUCUGGUAUGGAGAUUGUUUUAGAACAACUUGUUCUGUUAAAAGUGGAAGUUAAAUUUAAAGAAGAAUACUUAAGCUCAAUGGAGAAUGGAGGCGAUCCAUGGGCGUGUGGCUGAUAUAUAAUUUCCCCAGAAACACACUUGAAUUCUUGCUGAC
rnacentral:lncRNA from 1 species